GUGAGAAGAAACAGUUUGAUGACCCUCGAGCACAAUGAUCUCCAUUUAUGUGCACUUCAUAAACUCUCACCUGCUUUACCAAGGCAUCCUACCCCUGCCAAAAGAAAGUCUUUUCUGGAAAAAAGGGAAGAUCUGCUGUGAAGUUACACCAAGGUUUCAGGUUUCUCGUGUCCCAGAGCUGAGAAAAAGUAUCCCAGAUAACUGAAACCAAGUGGAGUAGUAUAUGAGCACAGUAUAUUUUACUCACCGCCCAGAUCUUCUCCAGCUGUUCAUGAAUAUCAGAAGUUC